AUUGAACGCUGGCGGCAGGCCUAACACAUGCAAGUCGAGCGGAUGAAGGGAGCUUGCUCCUGGAUUCAGCGGCGGACGGGUGAGUAGUGCCUAGGAAUCUGCCUGGUAGUGGGGGAUAACGUCCGGAAACGGGCGCUAAUACCGCAUACGUCCUGAGGGAGAAAGUGGGGGAUCUUCGGACCUCACGCUAUCAGAUGAGCCUAGGUCGGAUUAGCUAGUUGGUGGGGUAAAGGCCUACCAAGGCGACGAUCCGUAACUGGUCUGAGAGGAUGAUCAGUCACACUGGAGCUGAGACACGGGCCAGACUCCUACGGGAGGCAGCAGUGGGGAAUAUUGGACAAUGGGCGAAAGCCUGAUCCAGCCAUGCCGCGUGUGUGAAGAAGGUCUUCGGAUUGUAAAGCACUUUAAGUUGGGAGGAAGGGCAGUAAGUUAAUACCUUGCUGUUUUGACGGUACCAACAGAAUAAGCACCGGCUAACUUCGUG
rnacentral:rRNA from 1 species